GUUCAUGAGUGGCGUUUUGGACAGGGGGCCCGGUGUGGGAACCCAGAGCCAGUUCGCUGAACUGCCGCCGUCCCAGCCCCACGAGCGUCUGGGAAGGUCUGUGGGUGCCCCCCCGUGCCAGCCCAGGGGAGGCAGCCCUGGAAGCCGUUCUCAAGAACUUUUGCCUCAGGUGCAAAAGACUCCAGCCCCGCAAAGAUGCUGAAACAGAUCCUGUCGGAGAUGUACAUAGAUCCUGAUCUGCUGGCAGAGCUAAACGAGGAACAGAAACAGAUCCUGUUCUUCAAGAUGAGGGAGGAGCAGGUCCGCCGCUGGAAAGAAAGAGAAGCAGCGAUGGAAAAACAGGAGUCCCUGCCAGUGAAACCCAGGCCGAAGACAGACAACAGCAAAUCCGUUCACUGGAAGCUGGGAGCCGACAAUGAGGUCUGGGUCUGGGUGAUGGGUGAACAUCACCUGGACAAACCCUACGACGUGAUCUGUGAUGAGAUCCUCGCGGAGAGGGCGAGGCUGAAGGCUGAGCAGGAGACGCCGGAGCUCAGAAAAGCUCAGCCCAGAGAGCUCAGCAGCAGCUCGAAAUCAAAGCUGCCGUCCUCCGAGGGGCGGGCGCCCGGUGCCGGGGAGAUCGGGAAUGUGGGCGAGAAGGCGGCAGAGGUGGGGACGCCGGGCCGAGGCUGCAGGCCGGCUGCACCACUCGGAGAGCAGAAAGCACCCCUGUCCUCCAGCUCCUCAAGAAAUAUUCACCAAAUGUUGGCAGAUUCUGUCAGUCGUAUAAAGGAAUUCGGAUUUCACCAGAAGAAAGUGUCAGUGAAGCAAACACAAGAUGAAGAAAUAAAACAGACAGAUGAAGAGAGAACCAAGGAGAUUUAUACAAACUGGAAAGAAGAUUCGGAGUGGCAGGCUUCUUUGCGAAAAUCCAAAGCCGCUGAUGAGAAGCGGCGGUCCCUGGCCAAGCAGGCGCGGGAGGACUACAAGCGGCUGUCGCAGCGGGGCAGGAGCGGCAAGGGGCCGCAGGGCCCCCCGGGCGGCCCCCCGAAACCCAAGAGGCCCCCGCUCCCCCCCAAGCCUCAUUUCCUGAGCCCAGCAGGACAGCCACACACACCUCUCAGGAAUCAGAAAGUGACGAGGCCGGCGUCCAGCCCAGCCCAGGAGGACAUCAGGCGCUGGUUCCGGGAGGAGCAGCUUCCUCUGCGGGCGGGCUACCUGGCGGACUCGGACAGCAUCGCUCCCUGGUUCCACGGAAUCCUCACCGUAAACAGAGCGAACGAGCUUCUGAGCACCUGCGUGCCGGGCAGCUUUCUGAUCCGGGUCAACGAGAAGGUCAAGGGCUACGCCCUGUCCUACCAGUCUGAGGACGGCUGCAAGCACUUCCUCAUAGAUGCCUCCUUGGACUCAUACAGCUUCCUGGGCGUGGACCAGCUGCAGCACGCCAGCCUGGCCGAGCUGGUGGAGUACCACAAGGAGGAGCCCAUCACCUCCCUGGGGAAGGAGCUCCUUCUGUACCCCUGCGGUCAGCAGCAAGAGCCACCCGACUACCUGGAGCUGUUUGAGUGACAGCCCUGCAGCCAGCAGACCCCACGGCUGUGGACACACGUGAGAAGCCACGGCGAGCCGACCCCGAGCAAGUGAAAGGACCCUUGAGGUUCCAUAAAGAUCUCUGCACGCAUGCUAGAGUUUCACGCCAAGAGGGAAUCACCUCCUCCAGCAAUAAAGGGGGAUGAGCCCGCA
rnacentral:lncRNA from 1 species